rnacentral:lncRNA from 1 species
UUGACGUCUCAGCGUCUCCUUUCAGUGUUUGUUUCGGCGUGCGUUAGCCGAGCUACGAGUGCUCUGAUUCUUUCUCUGGUUAGAGAAGAUACGUAUGCAUAGGAUGCGAUGUCCUAGCGAGCAUGUUUCCAUUUCCCCGAACUACGUCGACUCUGAUGUUUGUUUCUGACAAACUACGUAGGCCUAGGAUGCGACAUCCUGCCGAGUCCCCUUCCUCCGUCUUCUUUUGCCUGUGUUUCAUUCCAGAUUGUGCAGUCUUUG